AUUGAACGCUGGCGGCAGGCCUAACACAUGCAAGUCGAACGGUAACAGGAAGAAGCUUGCUUCUUUGCUGACGAGUGGCGGACGGGUGAGUAAUGUCUGGGAAACUGCCUGAUGGAGGGGGAUAACUACUGGAAACGGUAGCUAAUACCGCAUAACGUCGCAAGACCAAAGAGGGGGACCUUCGGGCCUCUUGCCAUCGGAUGUGCCCAGAUGGGAUUAGCUAGUAGGUGGGGUAACGGCUCACCUAGGCGACGAUCCCUAGCUGGUCUGAGAGGAUGACCAGCCACACUGGAACUGAGACACGGUCCAGACUCCUACGGGAGGCAGCAGUGGGGAAUAUUGCACAAUGGGCGCAAGCCUGAUGCAGCCAUGCCGCGUGUAUGAAGAAGGCCUUCGGGUUGUAAAGUACUUUCAGCGGGGAGGAAGGGAGUAAAGUUAAUACCUUUGCUCAUUGACGUUACCCGAAGAAGAAGCACCGGCUAACUCCGU
rnacentral:rRNA from 1 species